ACUGGGGAAGAAGCUGCUGUAGAGGAGAAAAGUAGGGAAGACGGAAGGGCUGGCAUGCUUUCCACUCUCCAGCCCAGUGGUCACAGGGCCAAUGACCAAUGCAGAUAAAAAUACUCUUCAUUCAGUCUCAGCAGUGAACUCCCUCAGGGCCCAGGGGCAGCUUGCUGGCAAAGGGGCCCUUCUCUCCUCUGCCCCACAUCCAGCACUUUUGUGGCAUCAGAGAACUGCAGACCUUGGGGACAGGUUCUCCAUGACAAAUAAGAAUGCAGAUGUCACUCAAGCGUAUGAUACGAAAAUCUUUCCCGGAUCUGGGAGUAUCCAGAACUAACCACACAGGGGAACUGUUUUUUUUUCAAGGUAUUCCCUGGCCUCUUGGCCCUCUUCUUCCUUCCUCACCAGGACUCCAGGAUCCUCCUGUCUGGAAAAUAGUGUUCCACUCACCUACUUCAUGCCACGAUGUUAAUAUCUGUCUCUGCAGAAAGUCUGCUUUUAGAAAAGGUACCGAAAGUGGAGGUUAAUACACCUACAUGUGGA